rnacentral:rRNA from 1 species
UACGUAGGGACCAAGCGUUGUUCGGAUUUACUGGGCGUAAAGGGUGCGUAGGUGGCGCGCUAAGUCAGGUGUGAAAUCUCGGGGCUUAACUCCGAAACUGCAUUUGAUACUGGCGUGCUUGAGGACUGGAGAGGAGACUGGAAUUCAUGGUGUAGCAGUGAAAUGCGUAGAGAUCAUGAGGAAGACCAGUGGCGAAGGCGGGUCUCUGGACAGUUCCUGACGCUGAGGCACGAAGGCCAGGGGAGCAAACGGG